rnacentral:rRNA from 1 species
GACGAACGCUGGCGGCGUGCUUAACACAUGCAAGUCGAACGGCAAGGCCCUGCUUUUGUGGGGUGCUCGAGUGGCGAACGGGUGAGUAACACGAGGGUAACCUGCCCUUGACUUUGGGAUAACUUCAGGAAACUGGGGCUACUACCGGAUAGGAGCUCCUGCUGCAUGGUGGGGGUUGGAAAGUUUCGGCGGUUGGGGAUGGACUCGCGGCUUAUCAGCUUGCUGGUGGGGUAGUGGCUUACCAAGGCUUUGACGGGUAGCCGGCCUGAGAGGGUGACCGGCCACAUGGGGACUGAGAGACGGCCCAGACUCCUACGGGAGGCAGCGGUGGGGAAUAUUGCACAAUGGGCGGAAGCCUGAUGCAGCAACGCCGCGUGCGGGAUGACGGCCUUCUGGUUGUAAACCGCUUUCGCCUGUGACGAGGCGUGAGUGACGGUAAUGGGUAAAGAAGCACCGGCUAACUACGUG